rnacentral:rRNA from 1 species
ACACGACUCUCGGCAACGGAUAUCUCGGCUCUCGCAUCGAUGAAGAACGUAGCGAAAUGCGAUACCUGGUGUGAAUUGCAGAAUCCCGCGAACCAUCGAGUCUUUGAACGCAGGUUGCGCCCGAGCCAUUCGGCCGAGGGCACGCCUGCCUGGGCGUCACGC